AUAAUAAAUCAGUCUCAUUAGUUAAUUAACCGUCAUGGGGUGUCGGGGGGCGGAGGUUCAAAUCCUCUCGUGCCGACCA
rnacentral:tRNA from 3 species